ACGGGGUGCAGCAGGCGCGAAAACUUCACAAUGGGAGAAAUCCCGAUGAGGGAAUUCCAAGUGCUAGCACUAUGUGUUAGCUGUUCUUUUGUCUAAAAAACAGAAGAAGUAAGGGCCGGGUAAGACGGGUGCCAGCCGCCGCGGUAAUACCCGCGGCCCGAGUGGUGGUCGAUAUUAUUGAGCCUAAAACGUCCGUAGCCGGUCUUGUAAAUCCUUGGGUAAAUCGGCCAGCUUAGCUGUCCGAAGUCCGGGGAGACUGCAAGACUUGGGAUCGGGAGAGGUCAGAGGUACUUCUGGGGUAGGGGUAAAAUCCUGUAAUCCUGGAAGGACCACCGGUGGCGAAGGCGUCUGACUAGAACGAAUUCGACGGUGAGGGACGAAGCCCUGGGGCGCAAACGGGAUUAGAUACCCCGGUAGUCCAGGGUGUAAACGCUGCGGGCUUGGUGUUGGGGGUCCUUUGUGGGCGCCCAGUGCCGGAGAGAAGUUGUUAAGCCUGCUGCUUGGGGAGUACGUCCGCAAGGAUGAAACUUAAAGGAAUUGGCGGGGGAGCAC
rnacentral:rRNA from 1 species